GAUGAACGCUGGCGGCGUGCCUAAUACAUGCAAGUCGAGCGAACAGACGAGGAGCUUGCUCCUCUGACGUUAGCGGCGGACGGGUGAGUAACACGUGGAUAACCUACCUAUAAGACUGGGAUAACUUCGGGAAACCGGAGCUAAUACCGGAUAAUAUAUUGAACCGCAUGGUGCAAUAGUGAAAGACGGUUUUGCUGUCACUUAUAGAUGGAUCCGCGCCGCAUUAGCUAGUUGGUAAGGUAACGGCUUACCAAGGCGACGAUGCGUAGCCGACCUGAAAGGGUGAUCGGCCACCCGGGCACUGAGACACGGUCCAGACUCCUACGGGAGGCCGCAGUAGGGACUCUUCCGCAAUGGGCGAGAGCCUGACGGAGCAACGCCGCGUGAGUGAUGACGGUCUUCGGAUCGUAAAACUCUGUUAUUAGGGAAGAACAAAUGUGUAAGUACCUAUGCACGUCUUGACGGUACCUAAUCAGAAAGCCACGGCUAACUACGUG
rnacentral:rRNA from 1 species